rnacentral:rRNA from 1 species
AUACGGAGGGGGCUAGCGUUGUUCGGAAUUACUGGGCGUAAAGCGUACGUAGGCGGACUGAUCAGUUGGGGGUGAAAUCCCAGGGCUUAACCCUGGAACUGCCUUCAAUACUGUGAGUCUUGAGUUUGGGAGAGGUGAGUGGAAUUCCUAGUGUAGAGGUGAAAUUCAUAGAUAUUAGGAGGAACACCAGUGGCGAAGGCGGCUCACUGGCCCAUUACUGACGCUGAGGUACGAAAGCGUGGGGAGCAAACAGGAUUAGAAACCCUAGUAGUCC